rnacentral:rRNA from 1 species
AUGGACACUGAGGGAAUGGAAUUCCUACUGGAUGUGGUCGACAGGUUCCCAGUGCGGGAGGAGUAUGCAGAUAAUGUUGACCAUCCGGAUCCAGUCUUGCUCAUGUACCUUCUGGAUAAGGGGGCUGCGAGUCCGGAGAUUGGUCAGGCAGACGUUGAUUCUGGGGUAGCUGAGAUGGUGUGCGGAGGUGUGCUAACUGACGCUGAAGUAGGUGCCCCCCGUAGACGUGAUGAAUCUCCGACGAGGUCUGCCCAAUCAUCAGGCAGAGUCAAUCCACAGGCCCCGGCUGGACUAAGAGGGGAAACCAGACGCUGA